CAAUUCUCAGUCAGACAGCUGUUGACAAUGCAACCCAAGUGGCACCGUUUUCAAAUGAGGAACCAUAUUCUGACAGACGGCCAAUUAGAUCUGUUCCAAGGGAGAGGUCAAAGAGAUGUGGACAACGAGAACAGAAGGCAUUAAUAUCACAAGACAUAAAAGAAGCUUUGGUGACCAAGUGCUGUGUGAAAGAGUGCAUGAAGAAACUGUCUUUUGAAGUUAUCCACCAAUUGAGAUUGUCGUUUUGGAGGAAGACACAAACCAAACAGAGCCGCUUCAUCAACAGUAUUUUGAGAGCAGUCUUCAGAUAU